GUUAGUAACGCGUAGGAAUCUGCCUUUGUCUCGAGGAUAACCCGGAGAAAUCCGGAAUAAUACUCGAUAGUCUCGCAAGAGUAAAGGUUUCCGAUUUAUCGGAAUUCUGGACAAAGAGGAACCUGCGUCCUAUCAGCUUGUUGGUAAGGUAAUGGCUUACCAAGGCAAUGACGGGUAGGGGGAGUGAGAGCUUGACCCCCAACAAUGGGACUGAGAUACGGCCCAUACACCUACGGGUGGCAGCAGUCGAGAAUCUUCCACAAUGGGCGAAAGCCUGAUGGAGCGACACCGCGUGUUUGAAGAAACCCUUCGGGGCGUAAAGAACUUUUAUAAAGGAACAAUUUUGAUUUAUCAAUAUGAGUGUACUUUAUGAAUAAGGGGCGGCAAACUUCGUGCCAGAAGCCUCGGUAAUACGAAGGCCCCAAGCGUUAUCCGGAUUAACUGGGCGUAAAGCGUGUGUAGGCGGUUUUAAUAGUGGUUAGUUAAAUUUCAGGGCUCAACCCUGAAGCUGCUAAUCAAACGUUAAAACUAGAGCAAGUGAGAGGUUGAUGGAACUUACCAAGUAGGGGUGAAAUCCGUUGAUAUGGUAAGGAACACCAAAGGCGAAGGCAAUCAACUGGUACUUAGCUGACGCUGAGACACGAAAGCGUGGGGAGAGAAGAGGAUUAGAUACCCUCGUAUUCCACGCCGUAAACGAUGCCAACUAGCCGUUUGAAGUAUCGACCCUUCAAGUGGCGAAGCUAACGCGUUAAGUUGGCCGCCUGGGAAGUACGGUCGCAAGACUAAAACUCAAAGGAAUAGACGGGGACUUGCACAAGCGGUGGAUCAUGUGGUUUAAUUCGAUACUACGCGAGGAACCUUACCAGGGCUAGACAUCCUAAUGAACGGUCUCCGAAAGGAGAUUUUUCUUACAAGGACAUUAGGGUCAGGUGGUGCACGGUUGCCGUCAGCAUGUACUGUGAAGCGCCCCCUUAAAUGGGCUAACAUGCGCAACCCUCGUUCUGUGUUAUAAGUGUCACAGAAGACUGCCUCUGGAUAAGAGGAGGAAGGUGAGGAUGACGUCAAAUCAGCGUGUCCCUAGAUGUCCUGGGCUACACACAUGAUACAAUGGUUAGGACAAUGGGUUGCCAAACCGUAAGGUGGAGCCAAUCCCAUCAAACCUAAUCUCAGUUCGGAUUGAGGGCUGCAAUUCGCCCUCAUGAAGCUGGAAUCGCUAGUAAUCGCGAAUCAGCUACGUCGCGGUGAAUACGUUCCCAAGUCUUGUACUCACUGCCCGUCACAUUAGGGAAGCCGGUAAUACCCGAAGUUCCUUGUUUACAAGGACCAACGGUAAGAUCGGUAACCAGAAUGAAGUCGUAACAAGGCAUCCGUAGCGGAAGCUGUGGAUG
rnacentral:rRNA from 1 species